rnacentral:misc_RNA from 1 species
UUUCCGUAGGUGAACCUGCGGAAGGAUCAUUCAUAAUAAAGUGCUUUAUGGCACUUUUUAAAAAUCCAUAUCCACCUUGUGUGCAAUGUUAGAUCUCGUCAAUCUUGGCGAGAUUUUUAUACAUCAACUCAUUCUUUAACUAAUUUGUCUGAAAAAUAUUAUGAAUACUCAAUUCAAAAUACAACUUUCAACAACGGAUCUCUUGGCUCUC